UGCAAGUCGAGCGGUAACAGAGAGUAGCUUGCUACUUUGCUGACGAGCGGCGGACGGGUGAGUAACGCGUAGGAAUCUGCCUGGUAGUGGGGGAUAGCCCAGAGAAAUUUGGAUUAAUACCGCAUACGCCCUACGGGGGAAAGGAGGGGAUCUAUUUAUAGACCUUUCGCUAUCAGAUGAGCCUGCGUGAGAUUAGCUUGUUGGUGAGGUAAAGGCUCACCAAGGCGACGAUCUCUAGCUGGUCUGAGAGGAUGAUCAGCCACACUGGGACUGAGACACGGCCCAGACUCCUACGGGAGGCAGCAGUGGGGAAUAUUGCACAAUGGGGGAAACCCUGAUGCAGCCAUGCCGCGUGUGUGAAGAAGGCCUUCGGGUUGUAAAGCACUUUCAGUUGUGAGGAAAGGGUAGUAGUUAAUACUUACUAUCUGUGAUGUUAGCAACAGAAGAAGGACCGGCUAACUCCGUGCCAGCAGCCGCGGUAAUACGGAGGGUCCGAGCGUUAAUCGGAAUUACUGGGCGUAAAGCGCGCGUAGGCGGCUUGGUCAGUCAGAUGUGAAAGCCCCGGGCUCAACCUGGGAAUUGCACCUGAUACUGCCAAGCUAGAGUACAGAAGA
rnacentral:rRNA from 1 species